UCGAGGUCGAGUUGCAUGUGACACAGCACCAUUUUUGGUUGAGGAGGACGCCAUUGCUGAGGCCAUCGUGAGCUGUUGAGGAGGAUGCCAUCGUUGUGGCCAUCGUGAGAUGUUGAGGAGGACACCACUUAAGAGGAUGUCUGAUCAAUCAUAGUCCGUUUGCUCUCCAUACCAUCAGGCAUGGCCAAACCAUCAAGCCCCUUGCCUCCAUUUGCCAUUCAAGCAUCAGGUGAUGGCCAGAUUUCAUCUUAGCCAUGAUCGCCUGGCCCUGUGAGGAAGAGAUAGCCCAUUGGGUGGAGAGAGAAAGAGGGGUUCUAAGUUCUAGUUCUGCUGCUGCUGACCACGACGACGGAAAACGAAGAACGAGCUAAAAGGUAAAUUGAAGUUUCUGACGAGUCAUGGCGCUCUCAGGUUGUCUUUAAUCUUCUUUCUAAUUGUGAAAACAAGGACCUGCUUGAUUUCCAUUGAGGAAAACUCCUUUUUUUUUCUUUUCCUCUUCUCAAUUAAUUUGUUAAGUUGUCUUCGUUGUUUGUUUUAGCGUCUUAGCCCCGGCCUCUGAUCCUUUUCUUUUUUCAGCGUCUGCAAAAUUCUUUUCUGUUUCUUUAGUAAUUCUGAUGCCCAGUUCAGUCGGCGAUUGAGUUGUAUGUCCUUAGUUGCAUUCUUGUUCUUGCAGUUAGAAUUUAGGAGUUAAUUUUCAAAUGUAUUUUAUGCUAUUGUUAAUAAUAGAUAAAUAGCAUUUCUUCGGCAAUGGUUACAAUUUCUACAUAUUUUUUGCAAUUUUGAUAUUCUUAAAAUGUUUGUUUAACAUAAUAGUUUGUGUUUGCAUGUUUCUGAUCAAGUGAUUAUCUUUGACUCCAAAUUUUUCCACGGAGUAUAUGGUUUUUGUGACAUCACGGUUACCACCACUUACCAGCAAAUAUGAAUUCUGACCAUAGUUACCAGCAAAUUGGAUAGAUCUAAUAGGCGGUUAGCGAAGUAACCUCCAAUAAUCGUGACUUCACAUUUGUUGAUGCCAUGGACACUUGACUGGCGUCCUCCUAACCUCCAAGGGCAUGGUUGAUGCUGUAAUGCUGGGCUUGUCAGCAAGAGUCAGGGUUAGUCUGACAUGGCUUUUGCUGUGCUUUUUCCUCCUCUACUUUCACUGCUUCUACUGUUUUUGAUUAGCAGUGGUAUUCCUAUUUAGACUGUGAAACAACACAAGGUGUGAACUUUUUUCCCUCAACGAAAAGGGAUUGGAACAAGAUGCUCAACGAGUAUAUUAUAGCAUACUUUUAGGGCUGAAACAGCUCAAAGAAGUUUUUUUUCGGUAAUAUCAUACUGUUUAUAAAGGUACUAUAGCAUGUUUUGACUUGAUUGAAUACUUUUUGAUUGGUGGACUUACCUAGGCUCUAUAUCACAUGCGUGCGGGUAUGGUACGGGUUCGAACACCACAAUUUUGAAAAUUGUGGGUACACGGGUAUGACAAAUUUUAUAUUCUCAAAAAUGAUAAAAUGAAAAAAAAAAAACAUUAAUGGUUUACAUUUAUAUCUCAUAAGAAAGUCUCAAACCGGAUGAUGCCAUCCUUUUCAUGUAAAAUUGAAGCAAUGUCAAUAAAACUGGGUGAUGUCAUGCUUUUCUUUUUCUAAAAGAGUUCUUGUUCUUUCUUCAACUGAUCCAAACUCUCAUUGUGAUAUCUUUACAUACUUGAAUUCCCUGUGCUUGUUUUUUUUAACAGAUGCUCUUUCACUCUUGUAUAUGAUCCAUUAAACUCUUUCUCACAAAAAGAACAAAUAAAAACAACAUUUCCACCACCGAACACUUGAACCUUCCUACUUGCUGAUUAAUUACUCUUUCUUUAGGGUACAUAUUUGUUAUUCAAAUCACCUCUUCUUUUGUUCUGAUUAUUUAUGGCAUCAUUCAUAAUUUUAUAAAGCAUACCGAUUAAUGUCUUAUGAGUGCUAAAUGACAAUAUAUUGUGUUGACAUACAAAGGCACCCGACAGUAUAGUCAAUUGCUUAUCAUUUAUGUUACACUCAUUGCUUCAUACUCAUGUUUAUGAGUAUGCAGUCAGCAUUGCCAUUGGAACUAGUACAGUUGGUGCUCCAAAGCAUUUUAUCAACAAUGGUCUUUGCUCCAAAGCAUUUUCUCGACACUCAGUUAUCCCAUGAUUUUGUGCCGAGAUGCCUCGUAAACCGAAAGCCACAGUUGUCCCUGUUGUGGAAAUAGCCCAUGAAGGAUCUUCAUCUAUUGGUAUGUUUAGUUAUGACUUGACUCUUGUAAAUUAUUACUAAAUGUUGUAUUUCUCAUAUUCGUUUAUGUUGACUUUAUUAACUUGUGUAUUACAUGUACAGAGCAAGGCACUAAAAAAAAAAAAGAAAAAAGAAAAAAAAAACGUGGACCUAAUCGUGUUAUGAAGGUAAUGAAGUUGGGUGAUGGUGAAAAACUUAAGGUUCACCACAGGUACCUUGGUCAACCUAUUGGUAAAGAUGCAAGCAUGUUAUUCAAGUAUAUGGGACUUCUUGUAUGAGAUGGUCGCUUAGCACCUCUUACAUACAAAUUUUGGAAGGACAUGCCAAAGAGCUACAAAAGAGGCAUAAGACAUCGUGUUAAGGAAAAAUUCAAGAUUCAUAAGUCUGGUAAGAGGUGGAUGGUUAAAACUCGUGGAAAGCAAUGGAGAGAAUGAAAGUGCACACUUAAAAGAGAACACUUUGACAUUCAUGAGAGACAUGAAGUUCAACAUAAGGAUUGUGGCCCUAGGGUUGUGCCAAGCCAAUGGGAUGUAUUAGUAGAAUUUGGAACUCUCAUGAAGGAAAGGUAUAAUAAAUGCAUUUGCAUUUAUGCAAUAUAUAUUAUUAACGAGAUGCCAUCUUUUUUUAAAUUGAAGAAACUACGUAAGAAAAGCAAGGAUAGUUGUGCGAAGAAAAAGUAUUCUCAUACCAUGGGCAGCAAAAGUUUGGAUGAGUUCGUAAGAAAUGGUUAUUGACGAAUUUUAUCGAGCUUUACAUUUUAUUUAUUUAUUUAUUUAUUCAUUGUUGUAAUGUAAAGGAAUAAGUUACUUUGUGUUUUUUUAUGUUAGAUGGCAGAGAAAGAAGAUGGAUUAGAGCCAAGUAGAAUUGAAGUUUUUAUGAGAAUACAUACAAGAAAUGGCCAAAUUCAUGGAGAGACUAUCUCAUUCAGAUGGACGAUCACAUGUGACUGAUGAUGAUAUUUUUGCACAAGUUAUUGGAGAAGAGCAACAUGGUCGUGUGCGUACUAAUGGAUUAGGUCGCACUCCUGCAGACUUUUUUGGCUCACAUCCAACCAAGAUUAAAUUAAUAAAGGAAUCUAUGACGGCAAAAAAAGAGGAUUGAGAACUUAUAGGAAAAAAUAGAGAAGCUUCAAAAGAUGAUGAACAACUAGUAGCAGAAAAUCAAUAAUUAAAAGCAAGCAUUGGAUAAAUUUUGACAAUGAUGAGAGGCAAUGGUAGAAGCUUUUUUCAUGCAUCACUGGUGCGUUUUAAUUAAUGACAUUUUGAUAUAUGUUAUAGUUUUUUUAAUGUCAAAUAAAUUAUUUUUCUUUUUAUGUUGCCUUAUGAAUAGGAUGGUAAAUGAAUAAUUUUGAAGCGAAGCUACAUGAUCGGAGAUCUAGAGUAUGUUCAUAUUUAAAUUAAAGAGAGUGAGUGUUACUUACUAAUGAUUUUUUCGUUGAAUUUGCAGGUGCGAUGCUUCUGUUUCUGAUCAUACCUGUUUUUCUUUUCAUGUUACAAAGUUGUUUUGUUCACUGUCUCAUUUGAUGAACCAAAUCACACAAACAUUUUUUAUAGUUUACAAGAAAUAUCCAAUGAUAGAAAAUGUUACUUCUAGAUUUGACAAAUUUCUCAUGCCAAUUUUUCAAUAUGUCAAUGUUAGCAAAUUAAUUUCUUUGUAUUCUUAGAUAGAUGUUCACUGGUCUUUGUGUUCCUGGAUACACUGGUUGUGGAGUCUCAAACUUGUUGCAGGACCGCAGAGAAAAAGGACCAUUGCCUUUUCUGGUCUUUCUUACGUUUUACCCCCGAGUCAACUAAUAGUGGCAUAAUCUGCUUUUGUUAAAGCUUGCAGGUUAAAAUGUGUGGUUUUGAGCAUAGAGUUUGAAGCUAAAUCAAGAUCAAAUGGGGUCCAUUGAAAUUGCAAAUUGACUAACUUGCCGAUAUUUAUGUGCUGGACAGCUGCUUCCAUGCUGAAAUAUGAUGCUAAUCAUGAAGCAUAUGUUCUGCUUGUGAAACAGCAGUUGCAAUUCAAGUGUGAAAAAGCAGAGGUCAUGUUUGUCUAUAAAAAUUUGAGAUCUCGUGAAAAGAAUGAGUGAACUUGUAUGCCAUAAUGGAAAUCUGGCUUCUACCAUUCAUGAAAAGAAUGGUCCUCUUCUGUGGGAAAUGAGAGUUGGAAUUGCAAAGGAGAUAGCAAAGGGAUUGGCUACUUGCAUGAGUACAGCCCCAAGAAGUAUGUUCACAGUGGUCUGAAACCUACAAAUAUACUAGUGGGGAUGAAUAUAGAGCGCUACAUAUCAGAUUUCGUCUUAGGAUGGCUGGCAAAUAUAGCAGGUGGAACACCAAGAAUGCAGUCUGACAGCUUAUCACCUUCCGAGAUUCAAUCAUCGCCAUACAACAAAAUUGGGCUGUCGACGGCGUCGAUGGAUCGAGAUGGGUCAGUGCAUUCUUGAGUCUCUCUCUCUCUCUCUCUCUCUCUGUGGAAUUGAGUUUUUGGGUAUUAGCUUUUUCUAAUUAGUUUGGACUCUUCUGGUUGGUUUCUGUUGUUUAUUGUUUGUGCACAUGUUUGGGGUUUUGUUGAGAAUUUUGUGUAAUCUGAUAAUGGAAGCUUAUUUUGACAUGGUUAAUUAAUUCUUUUGUUU